rnacentral:rRNA from 1 species
GGCGGCGUGCCUAAUACAUGCAAGUCGAGCGGAACACUUGGAGCUUGCUCCAAGCGUUUAGCGGCGGACGGGUGAGUAACACGUGGGCAACCUGCCCUGCAGAUCGGGAUAACUCCGGGAAACCGGUGAUAAUACCGAAUAGUUUGAGGCCUUUCUUGAGGCUUCACGGAAAGACGGUUUCGGCUGUCACUGCAGGAUGGGCCCGCGGCGCAUUAGCUAGUUGGUGGGGUAACGGCCCACCAAGGCCACGAUGCGUAGCCGAC